GACGAACGCUGGCGGCGUGCCUAAUACAUGCAAGUAGGACGCAGUUGCGAACGGGUGAGUAACGCGUAGGUAACUACCUACUAGAGGGGGAUAACUAUUGGAAACGAUAGCUAAUACCGCAUACUAGUAGAUGGACAUGCGUUGUAUUAGCUAGUAGGUAGGGUAAUGGCCUACCUAGGCAACGAUACAUAGCCGACCGGGGGGGGUGAUCGGCCAAACUGGGGCGGGGACACGGCCCAGAAUCCUACGGGAGGCAGCAGUAGGGAAUCUGCGGCAAUGGGGGGAACCCUGACCAAGCAACGCCGCGUGAGUGAAGAAGGUUUUCGGAUCGUAAAGAUCUGUUGGUAAGGAAGCGGUACUUAACCAGAAAGGGACGGCUAACUACGUGCCAGCAGCCGCGGUAAUAC
rnacentral:rRNA from 1 species